CCUACGGGAGGCAGCAGUAAGGAAUAUUGGACAAUGCUCGCAAGAGUGAUCCAGCCAUGCCGCGUGCAGGAAGAAUGCCCUAUGGGUAGUAAACUGCUUUUGAACUAGAGAAAACCCCAGUACGUGUACUGGGCUGAUAGUAUAGUUAGAAUAAGCAUCGGCUAACUUCGUGCCAGCAGCCGCGGUAAGACGAAGGAUGCAAGCGUUAUCCGGAUUCAUUGGGUUUAAAGGGAGCGUAGGUGGACUGAUAAGUCAGUGGUGAAAUCUCCGAGCUUAACUCGGAAAUUGCCAUUGAUACUGUUGGUCUUGAGUACAGUUGCUGUGGGCGGAAUAUGACAUGUAGUGGUGAAAUACAUAGAGAUGUCAUAGAGCACCGAUUGCGAAGGCAGCUCACAAAGCUGUAACUGACACUGAGGCUCGAAAGUGCGGGGAUCAAACAGGAUUAGAUACCCUGGUAGUCCGCACCGUAAACGAUGAUUACUCGCUGCUAGGGGGCAACCUUUAGUGGCUUAGCGAAAGCGANAAGUAAUCCACCUGGGAGUACGCGNGCGAGAGAACGACGAAGAAGUUAGAGGCGNGAGGAGAGCGACGGACGACGACGAGGGAGGAGG
rnacentral:rRNA from 1 species